rnacentral:rRNA from 1 species
UGGGGAAUUUUGCGCAAUGGGGGAAACCCUGACGCAGCAACGCCGCGUGGAGGAUGAAGUCCCUUGGGACGUAAACUCCUUUCGAUCGGGACGAAUAAUGACGGUACCGGAAGAAGAAGCCCCGGCUAACUCCGUGCCAGCAGCCGCGGUAAUACGGGGGGGGCAAGCGUUGUUCGGAAUUAUUGGGCGUAAAGGGCGCGUAGGCGGUGUCGCAAGUCGGUAGUGAAAUCUCCAGGCUUAACUUGGAGUCUGCUGCCGAAACUGCGGUGCUGGAGUGUGGAAGAGGUGAGUGGAAUUCCCGGUGUAUCGGUGAAAUGCGUAGAUAUCGGGAGGAACACCUGUGGCGAAAGCGGCUCACUGGACCACAACUGACGCUGAGGCGCGAAAGCUAGGGGAGCAAACAGG